CCUAAGGCGAGGCCGAAAGGCGUAGUCGAUGGGAAACGGGUUAAUAUUCCCGUACUUGGUGUUACUGCGAAGGGGGGACGGAGAAGGCUAUGUUGGCCGGGCGACGGUUGUCCCGGUUUAAGCGUGUAGGUGUGUGUUCCAGGUAAAUCCGGUUCACUUUAACACUGAGGCGUGAUGACGAGGCACUACGGUGCUGAAGCAACAAAUGCCCUGCUUCCAGGAAAAGCCUCUAAGCAUCAGGUAACAUCAAAUCGUACCCCAAACCGACACAGGUGGUCAGGUAGAGAAUACCAAGGCGCUUGAGAGAACUCGGGUGAAGGAACUAGGCAAAAUGGUGCCGUAACUUCGGGAGAAGGCACGCUGACACGUAGGUGAAGUGAUUUACUCAUGGAGCUGAAGUCAGUCGAAGAUACCAGCUGGCUGCAACUGUUUAUUAAAAACACAGCACUGUGCAAACACGAAAGUGGACGUAUACGGUGUGACGCCUGCCCGGUGCCGGAAGGUUAAUUGAUGGGGUCAGCGCAAGCGAAGCUCCUGAUCGAAGCCCCGGUAAACGGCGGCCGUAACUAUAACGGUCCUAAGGUAGCGAAAUUCCUUGUCGGGUAAGUUCCGACCUGCACGAAUGGCGUAAUGAUGGCCAGGCUGUCUCCACCCGAGACUCAGUGAAAUUGAACUCGCUGUGAAGAUGCAGUGUACCCGCGGCAAGACGGAAAGACCCCGUGAACCUUUACUAUAGCUUGACACUGAACAUUGAGCCUUGAUGUGUAGGAUAGGUGGGAGGCUUUGAAGUGUGGACGCCAGUCUGCAUGGAGCCGGCCUUGAAAUACCACCCUUUAAUGUUUGAUGUUCUAACGUGGACCCGUGAUCCGGGUUGCGGACAGUGUCUGGUGGGUAGUUUGACUGGGGCGGUCUCCUCCUAAAGAGUAACGGAGGAGCACGAAGGUUGGCUAAUCCUGGUCGGACAUCAGGAGGUUAGUGCAAUGGCAUAAGCCAGCUUGACUGCGAGCGUGACGGCGCGAGCAGGUGCGAAAGCAGGUCAUAGUGAUCCGGUGGUUCUGAAUGGAAGGGCCAUCGCUCAACGGAUAAAAGGUACUCCGGGGAUAACAGGCUGAUACCGCCCAAGAGUUCAUAUCGACGGCGGUGUUUGGCACCUCGAUGUCGGCUCAUCACAUCCUGGGGCUGAAGUAGGUCCCAAGGGUAUGGCUGUUCGCCAUUUAAAGUGGUACGCGAGCUGGGUUUAGAACGUCGUGAGACAGUUCGGUCCCUAUCUGCCGUGGGCGCUGGAGAACUGAGGGGGGCUGCUCCUAGUACGAGAGGACCGGAGUGGACGCAUCACUGGUGUUCGGGUUGUCAUGCCAAUGGCACUGCCCGGUAGCUAAAUGCGGAAGAGAUAAGUGCUGAAAGCAUCUAAGCACGAAACUUGCCCCGA
rnacentral:rRNA from 1 species